UACGAAGGGGGCUAGCGUUGCUCGGAAUCACUGGGCGUAAAGCGCACGUAGGCGGAUUGCUAAGUCAGGGGUGAAAUCCUGGAGCUCAACUCCAGAACUGCCUUUGAUACUGGCAACCUUGAGUCCGGGAGAGGUGAGUGGAACUGCGAGUGUAGAGGUGAAAUUCGUAGAUAUUCGCAAGAACACCAGUGGCGAAGGCGGCUCUCUGGGACGGUACUGACGCUGAGACGCGAAAGCGUGGGGAGCGAACAGG
rnacentral:rRNA from 1 species